rnacentral:rRNA from 1 species
CGAACGGGUGAGUAACGCGUGAGGAACCUGCCUCAAAGAGGGGGACAACAGUUGGAAACGACUGCUAAUACCGCAUAAGCCCACGGCCCGGCAUCGAGCAGAGGGAAAAGGAGCAAUCCGCUUUGAGAUGGCCUCGCGUCCGAUUAGCUAGUUGGUGAGGUAACGGCCCACCAAGGCGACGAUCGGUAGCCGGACUGGGAGGUUGAACGGCCACAUUGGGACUGAGACACGGCCCAG